UAAUACGGGGGGAGCAAGCGUUGUUCGGAUUUACUGGGCGUAAAGGGCGCGUAGGCGGCCAGCACAAGUCAGUUGUGAAAUCUCCGAGCUUAACUCGGAAAGGUCAACUGAUACUGUGCGGCUAGAGUGCGGAAGGGGCAACUGGAAUUCUUGGUGUAGCGGUGAAAUGCGUAGAUAUCAAGAGGAACACCUGCGGCGAAGGCGGGUUGCUGGGCCGACACUGACGCUGAGGCGCGAAAGCUAGGGGAGCGAACGGGAUUAGAUACCCCGGUAGUCCUAGCCUU
rnacentral:rRNA from 1 species